rnacentral:lncRNA from 1 species
GUGACCACAAUUUUCUUCUGCAAAUACUGAAAAGCAAUUCUUUGCCCCUGUGUCACCAGCUGCGUGGAGAAGCACUUAAUACCUGUGCUGGAUAGAUGGUGAGCAGCCACUGCCCCCUGUGCUGAAUGGUGCUCGGCAGGGAGCAGUGAGAGCAGUGACCUCUGCAAGGUGAUGUGCCUGCGCUUCACCAGACAAAGGGAGGAUGAAAAUAUCCUAGAAAAGGAAUACAGACUUCCAAAGGUCAUGGGGGACGACACAGUGGGAUCUGACAAGGCAAGAGAAGAAAUAUUGCCCAGGAGCUUAUGGACGGGUGACCGCAGCAGAGGGUCCCUCCCUGAAGCGCUGACGCCGGGCCCCCCAUGCCGGCUGUCCCGGGAGCCCCGCUCGGCUCCCCGCAGGGCUGAGGACGGGGAGCGCACCGCAGCCAGCUCUCACCCUCCUGCGCUGCGCCCGCGCUCAGCCUCGGCUCUUCCCCAUCCGGAUGGGUGCGCGAGCUGCGGGGGGCAGGGUCCGUGUGCGAUCUGAAAUAUAACAUCACUUGGUUUCCUCUUGUUUGUUUUUCAAACUGGUCACACUUUUAUUCUUUAAUACACUUUCACCUUUGCUUUGUUUGAAACACUUCUUCCCUAACAAUGUAAUUACUCAUAAAACACAGCAGACCUUUCCAUUCUGCAAACCUUUGCAGUUUUGUUCCACGAUGUCUUAGCUAGUUUUUGACAUAAAGCACUGAUUAAUAAAGAAAUUUUGAUUGAAUAUGUUUUACCCA